rnacentral:tRNA from 1 species
GCCGCUAUAGCUCAGUGGUAGAGCGCGUCAUUGGUAAUGACGAGGCCGGCAGUUCAAUCCUGCCUAGCGGCACCA